rnacentral:lncRNA from 1 species
CCCAGCUGGACGCGCCCUCCCGGCCCUGCCGGCUGCUGGCUCUGCAGUUUCCAAAUGUGGAUGAUGCCGCGAGCCAAGAGAGAACUCCCCGGCACCCCCGCCGGCGCCGCACGGCGCUGGCACCCACAGGGCGCCGGCACCCGCAGCACCCACCUCGCCAGCAGGCACACCCCCACCGCGGCGCCCGGCAAGUUUGCAGGGGCCGUCCCGGCGGCCCAGCGGCGGUGAUGGGCUGAGCAGGACUCACCGCGGAGCCCAGGGCACCCCGGGCCGGGCUGGUGACAGCGGCAGCGGCGGCCGGCGCAGGGUCGCGGCUCCCUAGGAGAUGCUGCAGCGGCGGCAGCACCAGCCACCUCCUCCGGGAGCCAAUCCCGAAUGCAGGGGUGGGGGCCGGAGCUCGAUGCGUCCGCACUUGGGGGUGGCGGGGCAGAGAGAGAAAGAAGACACCAGGCACCCCCUCUCCACACCCCUGCCCUUCCCCCAGCCCUCCUGCAGCAGAGCAGACUUAGCGGGAGGGAGAUCUUGAGAGAGAGAGAGAGAGAGAGAGAGAGAGAGAGAGAGAGAGAGAGAGGAGGCGCUGGUGCAGAGUUAGGGAGAGGCGGCCGAGCUGCACACCUUGAGUCCUGGCCUCCUCCGCAGGGAGCCCCUGCACCCCAGCGGGGUCAGCACAAGGGCCUGGACUCAGAGACCAGAGGCCGGAACUGGCAGACUGUCCUCAGAGGCUGUGUGACACUGGCUGGUUGUCUCAUCUCUCCGGGGCCCCAUAGGACCAGGGACCAGGACACGGAAGGACAGUGGACCACGGUGGUCGGGGGACCCGCCUGUUGGAGGCAGGUGGUUUAA